ACCUCUCUUCCAGGGCGCUCCCAGGGGAAAGCUCCGGUGCCAGGCGAACAUCCCGGCGGCAGCGCGCCUCAGCGCCGGGGGGGCAUCGCCGCCGGUCGCUCCCAGCGCUGCUGCGCGUCCCCCGGGCAGGGUUAGGGCAUGGCGGGGCGCGGAGCUGCGCGGGCUGCGGAGCGGCGGGCGGGCGGCCAGCGGCGGCUUAUAAAGGGAGCAGCCCUGAGGAAUGCAUCUCCCUCGGCUGAUAAGCCGAGAUGACUGGAGGGGUUUGAACUACCUUCGCAACCCCCAGAGGAGGGAGGGGGACGAACCUCCGGGAGAGCAGAAAAAGAAAAAUAUUUCAGCACUUGCAUAAUGUCAAUAAACAACCCCCCUCUCAAGUGGCAGGAAAGGAAAGGAAAGGAAAGGCUGGAAUGCUUUGGGUGGGGAAGAGAGAGCAGAGUGGGUCUUUUCCUUUCUUUUCAUUUUUCCUUUCUUUUCCUUUUGUUUUUACUUCCCUUCUUUUCUUUUGUUUUCCAUUUUUAAAAAAUCCUUUCAUUGUUUUUCAUUUCUUUUCCUUUUUCUUUUUUAUUUUUUCCUUUUACCUUUUUCUCUCUUUUUAUUUUUUCUCCCCUCCUCCCUCCUUUCCUUUUCCCUCUACCCCCUUUAAAUCCCAGGUUUUGUGCUCACAGUGAAUACCUCUGCCUUGGCUAUAAUGGGGGCUGUGGGAGGCAGGGCUGAGGGGACGUGGCAGGACUGUCCCCAUCUCUGUUUCCCAUAGACAGGUUGGUGAUGCCACCCCACUGCAGCAAUGCACUUUGAGUGCUCAGGCUGAGCACGCAGUGCUGUUGCAUGCCCUGAGCGUGGCUGCACGCAUCGGAUGCUUUGCCCACACUCUGUGUGCACACAUAAGAAGUUACUUUUGGGCUAAAUUUGGGCGAUGCAAUCUCCACACAGCCAACAGCUCCAUGACCUUUACAGGGUCUCUGUCUGCAAUGAGAAUGCCCAUCCCUGCAUUACGCUCCUGUGCAGACUUCUGCUGACUCCAGCACUGUCAGGAGGAGAUGUGCUGCUCCACCGGUUAAACCAGCCUGAUGCUGUGGAUGGGAUCAGCGGCCCCAAGGAGCCCACGGAGAGCCAGCGAUGCUACCUGGGGCUGGGUCAGCUCUGUGCUGGCCCUAGAGCAAUCCAGCCCUGCUGCAAGUGCCUGCUGCAUGGAAGGCAGUGGGAGGGGAGCUGUCAGGGGAGAUCCAAUCCAGCUGCCCCUCGCUCUGCUCUCCCAACAGUCCUCCCCCUGUGAAACACCACCGGGCAGAUAUCAGCUGAAGUGAACUGACUUUUGCUGCAGCAGUGACUGAAGGUUGCAGAUUCAUGCCAUCCACAGUUUAAAGGUCCAUAAGCUACGGAAUUGAGCCCGAAGGCAAGAGCAGCUUUUCAGAGUCUGUGCUGCCAUCUAGUGUUAUUGUAUAUAUAGCACACCGGUUAACGUCUGAGCCCCAGCUCACUGUAGAGCUUUCUUCCUGCACGUCUCCCAGCUGAAUGUUUAACUCUAAGAUAGAGGAGAUUUUAGUUAAACUUCCUAAUCCACUAAUGCUGAUGACCUCUGAAAUUUUUGACCACCUAAAGGCUGUGUAUACGGAUAGAAGAGAGACUUCUGCUACAGUAUUUCUUUUAGACAGAUAGCACAGGUUGCUUCUGUCAGGAAGAGCAAAAGGAAGAUGCUUUGGCUGCUGCUGCAUUUUAGCAGCACUAAUUCUCAAGAAAAGGAAAAAAAGAAAAUAAAGUGAGGAUUACUGAGUGAACUUCAGGGAAGCUGCUCUUAUCUGCCACUAUGUGAGCUCCACAGUUCUCUGAAGGCUUUCUCGUGUGUUCAGGAAUAGGAAGCCUUGUACGUAUGUUGUAAAUGAGUGAGACAAAUAUCCUGUCAGUAUUUUUCACUUUUCUCGUCUAGAGAAAACCAGCUUAUUUCAAGUCCCAGAUUCCAAUUUGAUCCUUCGGAAGUCAGGGCAAUUAGUACAAGGCACUGCUCUUACUGCUUGGAAUAAAUUCAUUAGGAAACCUGUGUAGGCACAGAGCAUGAUGAAACAACACACAUUCUUGUGUUGCAUACCAGAGCGACAAGUAAAUUUCAAAGGUGACAGCCCAGAGUUACUGUGACUUCACAGCAACCACUUGGCUGACCUGAGAACAGAACCGUCUUUGUUUACAAUCUGCAUUUUUUUCUAACUCUUAUCUACUCUCUAGCACUGUAAUUUCCCUGAGCCCCCUCUGUGCCUCUAGGUCCAGCUUUCUCUGCACCUUGCAUUAUGCUGUACAAAUGUCCAGGUGUUACAAGGGACUUUCAUCUUCCAAAACAAAAGGUGAUGGACCAGCGACUAUCUGCAGUAACAAGUCACUGCCUGGGGAGAUAAAAGACAUUUCUUCUGGAUAGAAGUUACAUGUUAUGAGCUGUUUGUUCAGACUGAACAGUGAAACUAGAUAUAUGCCACGGAGAUAUACACCAUCUUCUGGAUCCUGCUGCACUUACGGAAGAUGCUACCAAGUCUGCCCAUUUAACAUCCUUUGCUGGCUGAAGUGGCCCUAUUCCCACCCCUAAGAAUCUGUCCCAUGAAUAUUUUAUGUAAACACUCCCUUAUUCACCUUGUGAGGUCAGACCAUUAAAAUCGGAUAUUAAAGUAGCAUUCUCAAAGCGGUUGAAGGGGAGCAGUGAUCAGCAGCACUAACUCAUUCCACGAUGACAGCUGCAUCUGGAGAGGAGCGUUUCUUGUCAUCACCCCACUCAUGUGUGCUAAGCCAGGAUAAGUACCCCCAUCUGCAAGACUGGACAUGAAUCUUCUGCAUACUCCCUGGUGGGACAUCCAGACAUGUCAUUAAGAUACAAGAACGUUGUGGUCAAGAGCUACGAGGCAGAAGUAAGACAAAAACAAGUUCAUCCCUGCCAACUGGGCGAUGCACGUGCUUGAGGGGAGAGGUUACCAAAGGGCAGCUAAGGAAGACUAUUGAAAGGGGUCCUUGGGACCAGCAAGAGAGACUCAGGACGCCUAACGCACAAGCGCAGAGAGGUGGAGAAGUAUGCAAAGAGCUUAUGGGAAACAAUACGAUUGUUGCACCUGGACCGCUUCAGAAUGCGCGUAUAGCUGCAGUCUGAAAGCAAGGCAUGAACGAUAGGUGGAGCUAUCCGCCGUGCAUCCGGUGGUUCCCGGUCGGAGUGCCUGCCUCUUCAUGCUACAUUGGUGUUAAGAAGUUUCUGAAGGCUGCAUUUUGUUACCGCGUUGUCAAUAAAAU
ensembl:lncRNA